rnacentral:rRNA from 1 species
UACGUAGGGGGCGAGCGUUGUCCGGAUUUAUUGGGCGUAAAGAGCUCGUAGGCGGCUUAGCAAGUCGGGUGUGAAAACUCCAGGCUCAACCUGGAGACGCCACUCGAGACUGCUAUGGCUAGAGUCCGGUAGGGGACCACGGAAUUCCUGGUGUAGCGGUGAAAUGCGUAGAUAUCUGAAGGAACACCAGUGGCGAAAGCGGCUUCCUGGUCCAGUACCGACGUUCAGGCACGAAAGCGUGGGGAGCAAACAGG